rnacentral:rRNA from 1 species
AUUGAACGCUGGCGGCACGCCUUACACAUGCAAGUCGAACGGUAACAGGUCUUCGGAUGCUGACGAGUGGCGAACGGGUGAGUGAUACAUCGGAACGUGCCUAGUAGUGGGGGAUAACUACUCGAAAGAGUGGCUAAUACCGCAUGAGAUCUACGGAUGAAAGCAGGGGAUCGCAAGACCUUGUGCUACUAGAGCGGCCGAUGGCAGAUUAGGUAGUUGGUGGGAUAAAAGCUUACCAAGCCGACGAUCUGUAGCUGGUCUGAGAGGACGAUCAGCCACACUGGGACUGAGACACGGCCCAGACUCCUACGGGAGGCAGCAGUGGGGAAUUUUGGACAAUGGGCGCAAGCCUGAUCCAGCAAUGCCGCGUGCAGGAUGAAGGCCUUCGGGUUGUAAACUGCUUUUGUACGGAACGAAAAGCCCCGGGUUAAUACCCUGGGGUCAUGACGGUACCGUAAGAAUAAGCACCGGCUAACUACGUGCCAGCCGCCGCGGUAA